GCGGAUGUAGCUCAGUUGGUAGAGCCCCAGGUUGUGAUCUUGGUUGUCGCGGGUUCGAUCCCCGUCAUUCGCCCCA
rnacentral:tRNA from 1 species